rnacentral:rRNA from 1 species
AUGCAAGUCGAGCGGACAGAUGGGAGCUUGCUCCCUGAUGUUAGCGGCGGACGGGUGAGUAACACGUGGGUAACCUGCCUGUAAGACUGGGAUAACUCCGGGAAACCGGGGCUAAUACCGGAUGCUUGUUUGAACCGCAUGGUUCAAACAUAAAAGGUGGCUUCGGCUACCACUUACAGAUGGACCCGCGGCGCAUUAGCUAGUUGGUGAGGUAAUGGCUCACCAAGGCAACGAUGCGUAGCCGACCUGAGAGGGUGAUCGGCCACACUGGGACUGAGACACGGCCCAGACUCCUACGGGAGGCAGCAGUAGGGAAUCUUCCGCAAUGGACGAAAGUCUGACGGAGCAACGCCGCGUGAGUGAUGAAGGUUUUCGGAUCGUAAAGCUCUGUUGUUAGGGAAGAACAAGUGCCGUUCAAAUAGGGCGGCACCUUGACGGUACCUAACCAGAAAGCCACGGCUAACUACGUGCCAGCAGCCGCGGUAAUACGUAGGUGGCAAGCGUUGUCCGGAAUUAUUGGGCGUAAAGGGCUCGCAGGCGGUUUCUUAAGUCUGAUGUGAAAGCCCCCGGCUCAACCGGGGAGGGUCAUUGGAAACUGGGGAACUUGAGUGCAGAAGAGGAGAGUGGAAUUCCACGUGUAGCGGUGAAAUGCGUAGAGAUGUGUAGGAACACCAGUGGCGAAGGCGACUCUCUGGUCUGUAACUGACGCUGAGGAGCGAAAGCGUGAGGA